rnacentral:rRNA from 1 species
ACACGUGGGCAAUCUGCCCUUCACUCUGGGACAAGCCCUGGAAACGGGGUCUAAUACCGGAUACCACUCCUGCCUGCAUGGGCGGGGGUUGAAAGCUCCGGCGGUGAAGGAUGAGCCCGCGGCCUAUCAGCUUGUUGGUGGGGUAAUGGCCUACCAAGGCGACGACGGGUAGCCGGCCUGAGAGGGCGACCGGCCACACUGGGACUGAGACACGGCCCAGACUCCUACGGGAGGCAGCAGUGGGGAAUAUUGCACAAUGGGCGAAAGCCUGAUGCAGCGACGCCGCGUGAGGGAUGACGGCCUUCGGGUUGUAAACCUCUUUCAGCAGGGAAGAAGCGAAAGUGACGGUACCUGCAGAAGAAGCGCCGGCUAACUACGUGCCAGCAGCCGCGGUAAUACGUAGGGCGCAAGCGUUGUCCGGAAUUAUUGGGCGUAAAGAGCUCGUAGGCGGCUUGUCACGUCGGAUGUGAAAGCCCGAGGC